AUACGUAGGGUGCAAGCGUUGUCCGGAAUUAUUGGGCGUAAAGCGCGUGUAGGCGGCCUUGCAAGUUGGGUGUGAAAGCCCUCGGCUUAACCGAGGAAGUGCGCCCAAAACUACAAGGCUUGAGUACCGGAGAGGGUGGCGGAAUUCCCGGUGUAGAGGUGAAAUUCGUAGAUAUCGGGAGGAACACCAGUGGCGAAGGCGGCCACCUGGACGGAUACUGACGCUGAGACGCGAAAGCGUGGGGAGCAAACAGGA
rnacentral:rRNA from 1 species